rnacentral:tRNA from 1 species
GUCUAUUUAGUUUAUAAAGAAUGUUAUUUUGAAAAGAUAAAGGGGGUUUAGGCA